AAGGCCUUAGGGUUGUAAAGCUCUUUCGACCGGGAAGAAGGGGGUUAGUGCUAAUAACAUUAAUCUUUGAUGGUACCGGAAUAAGAAGCACCGGCUAACUUCGUGC
rnacentral:rRNA from 1 species